rnacentral:rRNA from 1 species
UACAGAGGUCUCAAGCGUUUGUUCGGAUUCAUUGGGCGUAAAGGGUGCGUAGGCGGCGUGGUAAGUCGGGUGUGAAAUCUCGGAGCUUAACUCCGAAACUGCAUUCGAUACUGCCGUGCUUGAGGACUGGAGAGGAGGCUGGAAGUCUACUGGUGUAGCGGUGAAAUGCGUAGAUAUCGAGAGGAACACCUGCGGCGAAGGCGGGUUGCUGGGCUGACACUGACGCUGAACUGCGAAAGCUAGGGGAGCGAACGGG